rnacentral:rRNA from 1 species
AGCGAACGCUGGCGGCAGGCUUAACACAUGCAAGUCGAACGGGCGUAGCAAUACGUCAGUGGCAGACGGGUGAGUAACGCGUGGGAACGUACCUUUUGGUUCGGAACAACCCAGGGAAACUUGGGCUAAUACCGGAUAAGCCCUUACGGGGAAAGAUUUAUCGCCGAAAGAUCGGCCCGCGUCUGAUUAGCUAGUUGGUGUGGUAACGGCGCACCAAGGCGACGAUCAGUAGCUGGUCUGAGAGGANGAUCAGCCACAUUGGGACUGAGACACGGCCCAAACUCCUACGGGAGGCAGCAGUGGGGAAUAUUGGACAAUGGGCGCAAGCCUGACCCAGCCAUGCCGCGUGAGUGAUGAAGGCCCUAGGGUUGUAAAGCUCUUUUGUGCGGGAAGAUAAUGACGGUACCGCAAGAAUAAG